rnacentral:rRNA from 1 species
GACCUUCGGGAGCUUGCACAGGUGCUGCAUGGCUGUCGUCAGCUCGUGUCGUGAGAUGUUCGGUUAAGUCCGCUAACGAGCGCAACCCUCACUGUGUGUUAUAUGUGUCACACGGGACUGCCGGUUUUAAGCCGGAGGAAGGUGGGGAUGACGUCAAGUCAGCAUGGCCUUUAUAUCCUGGGCUACACACACGCUACAAUGGUCGGUACAAUAGGUUGCCAAGCCGCGAGGCGGAGCCAAUCCAAAAAAGCCGGCCUCAGUUCAGAUUGUAGGCUGCAACUCGCCUGCAUGAAGAUGGAGUUGCUAGUAACCGCAGGUCAGCAAUACUGCGGUGAAUACGUUCCCGGGUCUU